GCUGGGAGAUGUAGUUCCUGACUCUACCUGGACCGGAAGUGACGUUAGGUGGGAGAGAACAAGCCGAGGUGCAAACGCGCGCGGGACGCUCCGGCUCUGCCUGGCUCGCGCGGGGCCGUUGGAGCCUCUCCCGGGGCCGGAGAAGGGUGUGUAACUGAGAUCAGGGCUCUUAUCAUACUGAGCGUGGCCCUGUUCUGCCAGGUGCUGAAGAGACCCCGAGAUCUGGGCCUUGUUCUGCCAGGCGCUGCGGAGACCCCAACUGAGAUCUGGACCCUGUUCUGCCAGGCACUGAAGACACCCAAGAUGAGGAAACUGAAGAUCAGAGAGCUGAAGUAAUUUGCUCAAGUUUGCAUGGAGAAUCUGGGACAAAACUUGGAACUGAACCCAGAUUGUUUCAGGUCUUCCCUCUCCCCUUAUCCACAAGCCCAGCAUGUGUGUGUACAGUGUUGUUCUGGUCUGUGUUUGCCUUGCAUUGGCUUCCAAGGGAGGCUGUGGAAUUUUCAUCACUGGAGAUUUUUAAGACCAGGUUAGAGAUCCACCAGUCUGGGAAUGUCUAGGGAUACUUGGUUCUGCCUCAUCACAGGAUGCUGGAGUAGACGACCUCUCAAGAUGCCUUCCAGGUCUACACUGAAAUAAUUCUCUCUUGUGCUGUGUCCUGUUCUAUGCUGAGCUAUUUUGCAUGGUGCCUUUUGGAACUAUGAUGCACCAUGUUGUGUUGCAUAGUUUUAUGAUGCGUUGUUUUGCCUUAGCUUGUUUGGUGUCUGUGUUA